rnacentral:sRNA from 1 species
GCUGGGCGAGGUGGGGCACACCUGUAGUCCCAGCCACUUGGAGGCUGAAGGGGGAGGAUCACUUGAACCCAGGAGCUGGAGACCAGCUUGGGCAACAUAGUGAGACCCCAUCCU